rnacentral:lncRNA from 1 species
CUACCUAAAAAACAAAACAAAAAAACAAAAAAAUAUAAAACAAUAAACACCCCAAUCUGAUUCAAAUCUGGCACCCACCCAAGAUCAUUCAUUGUAAAUACCGACGAUUCCAGUCCCCAGGAAGUAGUUUCCAAAAAGCAACAGAACAUCAUUUGCUUCCUUUUUCUCUCCCUAAAACCCAAACAUCUUUCACAAUUGACCUUCAAUCUGGUUCUCUCCUUCUAUACGACCCAUCAUCCACCGCGUCUCGCUCAGGCAGUCCCCCGAGAAGGUAAGUCCGUGUCCCAUUUCUUAUGGCUUCUCUGGCUAAUUCGUGAGCCAUUAUAUUUGUUGAUCUAGGUAUAUGUUUGAAUGAAAUCUGAUGGAAGAAUCAUUUUUGACAUUGUAUGUUUUUUUAUUAACGCCCCUAUCUUUGAUCUGUCCACGCUAUCUGACUAACUUUUCUUUAUUAUUGAAACUGAAUCCCCUUCAAUAGCAACUAAUGAAAAUCCUUUUCGUUUCCCCAACAAAAUUGCUUGGAGACAUGUAUGUGCCUCUGCUGCGAACAAAGAAGCAACUCCCCUGUGUACCAUUGUUUUAGAGGCAAGAAUCUCUCCAGAAGAAUUUCUCGCUACCACCUUUGAGGCCGAUAAGGCCUGUGCCUCAUCAAAGGCCGCAUCAAAAUUUACUUUAAUGUCGGACCCAUUCGGGGGACACCAUUCAAUAGCUACGGUUUCUUUGGUCAGUUUACUAUUCUCACACUCGUCAAUUUCCUUGGCAUAUCUUGAAACCCAUGUAUCAAUAUCACGGCCCCUACUUCUCUUCCCCUCAAAUAACCCCUUAUUUCUAUCAGUCCAAAUCGUCCACAAGGAGUAGCAGAAUAAGCGACACUGCGACCCAGUAUAGUUUUUGAAUACCCAGGUAAGCCAUUCCCAACAGUUCAUGUUGAUUCAUGUUAAUAUCCAUUCGAGAUUUAAACUUAUCCAGACAUCUCUUGUAACAGGAGAGACACGUACCAGGUGGUCAACAUUCUCAGCAACCCCUCCACAUCUUGGGCAUGCAGUCUCCGUCACCAGUCUUUUAAUGGAUAAAUUAGCUAGAUUAAGGAUGAAAUUCCAGGAAACUUUCCAAAUGAAAAUCUUAAUUUUUGCUAAAAUAUUGCUGUUCCAUAGGUUUUUUUGUAGAAGCUUUUCAUUUCGGUUUGUAAAUAAGUAGGAUUAGUAUUACCCUUAUGUAAUAGUUUGUAGGCACUUCGCACCGAAAAUUCCCCUUAAGAUUCUCCCCCCCCCCCCCCACACCAUCAUAUCCUCGUGUGCUUCCAUGGCCAAGGGGAUUUUCAAAAUUCUAUCUGCAUCGUCCCUUGAGAAGGUAGAAUUAAUAAGCUCAAUUUUCCAUUCUCGUAUUUGUGCAUUAAUUAAAUCAGAAACCAACCUGACCUAGCUGUUACAAGUAGUUGUUGAUACUUUAUUGUUUGCAGUCCCCGAAAGCCAAGCACCAAUCAAAAUUGAAAUUUUCUCCCCAGUUUCAACCCUUCAAUACAAUCCGCUCUUCAACAAGCCCUUAGCAGCCCACACAUUCCAGGUAAACGAAGGUAGAUUUCCUAACUCAGCGUUUAAAAAAUCAGUAUUCAG